CCGGCAUCCCCCGGCAUUCACCGGCAUUCCUGGCACCCGCCCCCCUGCCGCCAAAUGGGAAUUCAUUCCAUAGGAACUGCCGAUUACUGCCUUCGCUCAGCCCCCCAUCCUGUAUUCAAGAGAGGAUUUGGAUACCUUAUGAGAGUUAGAUGCCUUGUGAGGUAAACAGAUCUUGCUGCUGACAGCUGUUUUGUAAAGAUAUGAAUAUCUUGAUGCUCUGCAUUAGCUGGAUAGAAAGGAUGUACCCAGAGCUGACUACGCUAGUCUAUGCUUGAAGAACAAAGGCAAUAAUUCUUCUUCAGCACUGCAUUGCCAGUCCUGGUUGUCAGUGAUGCCACUUCUCCUUCACCCAUGGGAAGAAGAGACAGGGAGAAGGACCAAAGUUUUGCAAAACUACCAGGAUUCACUACUUUGUCCAGUGGGGCUGGUGGUAUGCAAGGUUGGCUUGCCUAGAAUCCAUUUCCGUAGCUGCAGCACCACAAGGAGCGUGGGAAGAGAAAAACUGGCCCUAAAAACCAGUCAAAAAACCCCACAAAGAAGCAUAUCUGUAGGAGACACAUAAUGUCUGCUAAGGAGCGAAAGCAAACCUCAGCAGGCUUGUUGUGCCUGGGAGUCAUCCUUGAGGAAAAAAAUGUAUUCACACAUCAUAUUGGACAUUUUCAAGCUGGAUUUGUCAUGGCCCCCAUCAAGUGGCUUUACUUGUCAAAUAGGUCCCUCCCCUUCCCCACCCGUAUGAAAUACAACGGAUAAGCAAUCAAAACUCGUGUGGCAUACAGAAAAAUGCAUUAGUUAAGUUGUGCUUUCUGAAGGAAUCAAGUGAUCAUGUGGUUACAUCAUGAGGGUGUAAUCAAAGGGGUAAAGUGGUGGUACUAGUGGCACAGUCAUCUUCAAAGAGAGCUUUUUUGGCUGGGAUUUCAACCUCAGUCUCAACUUAUUUCUUCCUAAAAGGGAUGACAGCUCUGCAGAAUGCUGAGUGACUCCCGUGACCAUUAAAUGACAUUAUUUUUCCAGACAGUUAUCGUAAAUAACAUUUUCUGUUAAAACACAUGACAAAAACUCUAUUACAUUUUCUGCUGUGUUUUGAAAGAUAUG